GUGAACUGAUUAACCGAGGUAAGGAACGAUAGGGUAACGCCUUGAAACUUACCCUCUGAUACUCCGACUUGCAUAAUGUUAACCAUUUAAUAGAUUGUAAGAAGCUCGGUGAAGUCGGCUGAAUGUGUCCUAAGUUCCACGAGGAAUAUGGAGGCUAAUAGGUCGGGAGUCGUUUUA
rnacentral:ncRNA from 1 species